rnacentral:rRNA from 1 species
GACGUAGGGUGCGAGCGUUGUCCGGAUUUAUUGGGCGUAAAGAGCUCGUAGGCGGCUCGUCGCGUCGGCUGUGAAAACCCGCAGCUUAACUGUGGGCUUGCAGCUGAUACGGGCGGGCUAGAGUUCGGUAGGGGAGACUGGAAUUCCUGGUGUAGCGGUGAAAUGCGCAGAUAUCAGGAGGAACACCGGUGGCGAAGGCGGGUCUCUGGGCCGAUACUGACGCUGAGGAGCGAAAGCGUGGGGAGCGAACAGG